AUUGAACGCUGGCGGCAUGCUUUACACAUGCAAGUCGAACGGUAACAGGCCGCAAGGUGCUGACGAGUGGCGAACGGGUGAGUAAUGCAUCGGAACGUGCCCAGUCGUGGGGGAUAACUACUCGAAAGAGUAGCUAAUACCGCAUACGAUCUAUGGAUGAAAGCGGGGGACCGUAAGGCCUCGCGCGAUUGGAGCGGCCGAUGUCAGAUUAGGUAGUUGGUGGGGUAAAGGCUCACCAAGCCAACGAUCUGUAGCUGGUCUGAGAGGACGACCAGCCACACUGGAACUGAGACACGGCCCAGACUCCUGCGGGAGGCAGCAGUGGGGAAUGUUGGACAAUGGGCGCAAGCCUGAUCCAGCAAUGCCGCGUGCAGGAAGAAGGCCUUCGGGUUGUAAACUGCUUUUGUACGGAACGAAACGGCUCUGGUUAAUACCCGGGGCUAAUGACGGUACCGGAAGAAUAAGCACCGGCUAACUACGUG
rnacentral:rRNA from 1 species